GGAGAAAGUUUUGGUACACUGUAUUACCGCAGUCUUCUACAGGGCAGGGGAAUACUGUACGUUGAUCAGCAACUGACGGCAGGGGAAGAAACUAAAACCUGGGUCCAAGCUUAUGCUUCAGAUGUGUCAUUGUUUCACAAGGAUUUUGGUACGACAAUGAUGAAGCUUUCCAACUUGGGAGUCCUGACUGCACCAAUGGGACAGAUCCGCAAAGAU
rnacentral:misc_RNA from 1 species